UACGUAGGGAGCAAGCGUUGUUCGGAUUUACUGGGCGUAAAGGGCGCGUAGGCGGCAAAUCAAGUCAGCUGUGAAAUCUCCGAGCUUAACUCGGAACUGUCAGCUGAUACUGUUUUGCUAGAGUGCGGAAGGGGCAAUCGGAAUUCUUGGUGUAGCGGUGAAAUGCGUAGAUAUCAAGAGGAACACCUGAGGUGAAGACGGGUUGCUGGGCCGACACUGACGCUGAGGCGCGAAAGCCAGGGGAGCAAACGGG
rnacentral:rRNA from 1 species